CAGCAGCUGAAUGGUCUACGUAGCACGAAAAAAAUACGUCUCUUAGCCAUCAACUUGGCCAUCUGACGUCGCAUUUAAUAAGACAAGAUAUACCGGGAGCGAACAUCGUGUAUUUAAUGUAUGGAAGUAGCCCUGUCUGCUGAGACAUUGGCCCGGUCUAUCUCAUCCGGGAAGUGGAAUCCCCAACGAGAGCGAUCUCAUACGGGGGCUGUUGAAGUUGAAGAC
rnacentral:lncRNA from 1 species